rnacentral:misc_RNA from 1 species
GAGGAAAAAUGAAAUCUGCAGCAAGGAAAGGUCUGCAGCAGAUGAAUUAUGUUCUUGGGUUGCUAUCUGGUUUAUGCAGAGCAAAAAAAAUGACAUUUUGUAGCAAGGAAGGGUCUGCAGCAGAUGACUUAUGCUCUUGGUGAGGUUGGGUGUAUAACUUUUAAGUAUAUGUGUUUUUAAUGUUAAUAUGGUGGUAAGUUGGUCAUAUUUGUAAUUUUGAGAUUAUUUGGGUUGUGGAAUUCAAGGUGGACAAUAUUGCAUUCUCUUGGCAUAACUUGGAGAGUUCAUUUCAUCAUUUGUAGAUAAAUGCAACUUUAUGCAGAUUUUAUUGAGUUUUAAUGUGCUAAAUGUUGAUUUGCAGAAUUUGAGUCAAAAUGGCAUGGAUCACAAAUGCUUUUUAUGUAGGAUCCAUCUUCUACAAGCUUGUGUGAUGCAUUUUUGAUGAACUUUGUAUAUAUUGAUGUGUUUUUGGUGAAAAUUUCUCAUGGUUUAUGCUUCAUAGAAUUAUAUUUCUUCAUUUUAGGGUAUUUUUCACACUUGCAAAUCAUGUUCCAUUGCAAUCUUAAUUUUGUUGAAUUGUGCAUAAGCAACUGCAUAGCUUAUGCAAUCCUGCAUAACCACAAUUCUUGCCAUUUUCAUCCCUGUUGCAAACUGCAUAAGAAGAGUGCAUAGCUUAUGCAACUCUGCAUAGCCUAAUUUUGUCAAAUUUCAUAUCUUUCGAAACCUGCAUAAGCAGAGUGCAUGACUUA